GCUUUGCAGGUUGAGAUAUGACCGUAGCAKCCCCGCAAGGAGCCUGGUUUGCUAGUUCCGUAGGUGAACCUGCGGAAGGAUCAUUA
rnacentral:rRNA from 1 species